AGUCCGAACAUUUCUCUGUAGUCUUCUGAUGUCUGAUUUUGUUGCUGAACCAAACCAGACAGUUAUUGAAGUACACAGUAUAGACUCAGUAUAGUACACAGUAGUGACGGCUGAGUAGAACUGUUUCAGCAGCUCCUGUGGCAGGUUAAACUUCCUCAGCUGGCGAAGGAAAUACAACCUUUGCUGGGCCUUUUUUACAAUGGAGUCAAUGUGAUUGUCCCACUUCAGGUCCUGAGAGAUGGUGAUUCCCAGGAAUCUGAAUGACUCCACUGCAUUCGAGAGAGUUGUAGCCCAUACUCAUCUCCCAUUGUGCUGGUAAAGAAAAAGGAUGGUCCCUUGAGAAUGUGUGUAGAUUAUCGUCAGUUAAAUGCAAGAACUCGGAAGGAUGCUUAUCCACUUUCCAGGAUUGAGGAGUCCUUAGAUGCUUUGACUAGGGCAAGAUGGUUUUCUACAUUGGAUUUAGCAUGUGGAUACAAUCAAGUCCCUGUGGCUGAAUCUGAUCAUUCCAAGACUGCCUUUUGUACUCCUUUUGGGCUCUUUGAAUUUCUUCGGAUGCCUUUUGGGCUUUGCAAUGGGCCAAGCACUUUUCAACGGUUCAUAGAACGAAUUUUUGGUGACCAAAGUUUUCAGUCCCUACUGCUCUUAAUGACGUGAUCAUUUUUUCAACAACAGUAGAACAUCAUCUGCAGCGACUAGAAUUGGUACUGAGUUGUUUAAGGCAACAAAAUCUUAAAGUUAAGCUCAGUAAGUGUUGUUUUUUUUUUUUGCCCAAAAGUACGUUAUUUGGGACAUGUCGUUUCGGCUGCAGGAGUGAGCACUGAUCCAGAAAAGAUAGCUGCAGUGGUAAAUUGGAAAUGGCCACAGACUCCUCAAGAACUUAGGUCCUUUCUAGGUUUUGCUAGUUAUUAUUAGGGACUUAUAUUAUAAAAUACGUUUCAGAUCCUUAAGGUAGCUUUGACCAAUGCCCCUAUGCUUGCUUAUGCUGACUUUAGCAAGUCAUUCAUCUUGGAGAUAGAUGCAAGUUUUCAAGGCUUGGGUGCCAUUUUGUCACAGGAGUACAAGGGCAAGUGUAGACCAGUUGCUUAUGCAAGUCGAGGGUUGACCGCAGGCAGCAACCAACAUUACAAGAACGCUCUCUCGAACAGCCAGAGCUUUUGGACCUAGUCCGUCAAUGGGAGAAGUUGGAGAAAAUAGAUGGUGUUUUGUAUAGACGAUUUUGGCCACAAGAGGGUCAUAAGGAAAUCCAACAGGUAGUGUUACCAUCUGCCCUUAGAGAGGAGGUGCUUACCUGCCUUCAUGAUGACCAUGGCCAUCAGGGGACGGAGCAAACUGCAAGGCCAGUAAUAGCACGCUGUUAUUGGCCAGGAAUGUAUAGGAAUGUUGAGGACUGGUGUAGGAAAUGUACCCUCUCGAAAGUGGUUCGACCGAAGGUGCAUACAUUCAUGGGGUAUUUGAUGGCUGACCGACCCCUUGAUAUUGAUAUCGAUUUUACGUGGAACCAUCAGCUAGUGGAAUGGAAAAUGUAUUAAUCAUGACAAAUGUGUUUUCAAAAUAUACCCAAGCAAUCCCUACUAAAGAUCAGACAGCUAAAACAGUGGCCCGUGUAUUAGGGGAACGAUGGUUUUAUUUGUUUGGUGUCCCACGACAGUUACAUUGAGACCAGGGAAGGUGCUUUGAGAGCCACCUGAUAAAAGAACUCUGUGAAAUCUAUGGUAUUGCAAAGACUCACACUACACCAUAUCAUCCUCAGGGGAAUGGUAAUUGUGAGCGGUUCAAUAGAACUUUGCAUGACCUGCCCAGUACACUCCCUGCUGAAAAUAAAAGAGACUGGCCAUCUUACUUGUCACAGUUGGUGUUUGCAUACAAUACCACAGAACACCAGUCUACAGGUUACUGUCCUUAUGUCCUGAUGUUUGGACAAGAACCACACUUACCGGUAGAUUUUAUGUUAGGACUGGAUGACUAUGGCCCAACAAAUGUGGACUGGAUAGUUGACCACCGAGAUAAUUCCCGAGCCCAUCUUCAGAAAGCUGCAGCUCAGCGUGCCCGUGUAAAUGAUGCUAAGGUGUCACAGAUGACAUUAAGGGAAGGCCAUUUGGUAUAUAAAAAAGCACAUGAUCAUCAAGGCAGAAAGAAAAUCCAGGAUGUUAUCAAAUUGUUCGAUGUCCCGAGGGGCAAGGGUCUGUAUAUUCUAUUAUUCCAGUUGAUGGUGGAAAAGUGAGACAAAUACACUGUAGUGAGUUGUGACCAGUUUAUGUCCCAUCAGAAGGUCGAACCGAAAGUCCAGGACUAUUCCCUUUAAGUGAGGAUCCUUAAGGAGCAGAGAAGGGAUAUGAUAGUCAUGUUAUCAAGUGAACCUGGUGUGCCUGCAGAGAAUGAGUCAUGCAUACCACUUCCAGCAGAAGAAGGUGAUCCUGAAGAGCUGACUUUACAGCCAUGUCGACAACCGGAACAGCCAGUGCAGCGACAGGUGGACCUAGUAAGGCGGACAACCCGGUCCACAGCAGGGCAGCAUACAAAUCCACAUAAUCUUCCUCAGUCAGCCGUGUGUAGAGAAGUCCAUUCAAAUGGUUAUAUCUUUCUCCCGAGAACAGAGCUCUCCAGUGUUACAAACACCCUGUUUUUUUGACCAUGGUCAUAGAAAUUUGAUCGACGGGACGUCAAUUUAAAGUAAGGGAGGUAUAUUGUAAUGGGAUGGAGGUAGCAUUAGUAGUGGCUCCAUAUUAGGCAUGCUUGGGACUAAAAAAUGUGUUGGACUACAGAUCCCAUGAGUCCAAGUACUAUAAAGGGGGAAAUCAAAUCUUCUGGCCUUUCUCUUUGUGGGACCAUGUGCUGAGUAGGAGAAGCUGUGUGUAUGCUUAAAGGAUAUAUACUGGUGGAUGCCUCAGAAAUUGAGUAGAUUCAUUCAUUAACACAGAUGAUGCAUGAUUGCCGUUUACUUUUAUCUAAAAUAUUGGUGGGUUAAUGUUGGGUUGUAAGAUAUAUGACUUUUAAAAGUUUACACUAUGAUGAAGUGAUUUGAAUUUAUUGUGGGAGUUUGUUUUUGUUUUGUUUAUUUGUUUUUGUUUUGUUUUAAUCAACCAAAGACAAAGGGGUUCCCAUUCUUGUAUGUAUGGUUGACUCUCUUAAGGUGAUUGGGCACAAUUUGUAGUGGUUUGAGUCAAGUGCGUGUUGGUUUUCUAUUACACUUGUAGUGUUAUUGGUUUUGUGCUGUGAUUUGAUUGUGCUCUUUAAUAGUGGAAUUGCCAUUGUAUGGGAUUGGGGAACCCUAUGGUCUGUAGUGGGUUAAACCUUUUUGUUCUUUUCGUUUCUUUGCCACUUCUUAUUACCAUUCCUGUUUAAUAAAUUUGUUUGUGCUUGCAAGGAAACACACUGUGGUUGUUGCCCUUCUUUUACACCUUCCCCA